AAAUGUCUCCACCUCUGCUCACUUCUGCUGCUACAUUCUGUCUGUAUUUUUCAUAUGUAUCAGCAGCUGCUAAAUUCCAGCAGUCUCCCUGGAUAAUAUCAAACCAAAGUGCUCGAGUGUCCAUAGAGUGCAGCCAUGAUGACAGUUCCCUCCUUGUUAUGCUCUGGUAUCAGCACCGGCCGGAAACUCAGUCUAUGAUGUUGAUUGGAUACAAUUAUGUGGGAACUGACAACUAUGAGAAUGAACUUGGAAAGCAGUUUAAGAUGGAGAGACUCAACGUGCUGACUGGCUCUCUCACAGUGCUCAGUGCAAGCCCCUCGCACUCGGCUGUGUACUUCUGUGCAGCAAGUAUCACAGUGAUGAAGUUAAGAGCCACUCCCAGCUAAAAACCUACUGCACACAACAU